AUAACGAACGAGACUCUUGCCUGCUAAAUACGCCGGCGUCGACUCAGGUCGGCGACCGCAUGCUUCUUAGAGGGACAAGCGGCUUUUAGUCGCGUGAAGCGGAGA
rnacentral:rRNA from 1 species